rnacentral:lncRNA from 10 species
CAAUUCUUGUGCCUCAGCAGAAAGAAACCUUUACCAGCUCCUCCUGCCUAAAGGUGAAGUCUACCAAAGUCCACAUUCCUGAGUGUGGAAGGUGAUCCUUUGCAGCCUGGCCCCAGCUCACCUGUUCAGCCUCCUCCUCCGACACCCUCAGGAAACCCCCUGCCUUCUGGCCCCAUCUAAUGCAUCUUGAUGUUCCCAGAAUGCAUCAGGCACAGGCUAACAAGGCUUCCCACGUGGGCUCAGACCCCCCCUCCCGCCCCCGCCACCCGCAGGAUUCCUGGGAAUUCGACAGAGACAGAUAAGCAUCAGCUACUUUUGGUCUGGUGAUUUUCAACAAGAUUGUCUGGUGCAAAGACCCAGUUCAUCUCUCACCAGCCGAUACGUAGUUUGGAACUCAGUCUGAGCCAAUCUUCCCAGUUCCAGCAGGAUG